UGUCCAAGGCUCACACCAGGUUGUGUGACUCACAAUCCUCACAGACCUGCUUCUGUGGUGCUUAGCCCAUGGAGCAGCAAUGGAGUGUCCCUGUGUGCACUUGUCACACUGAUUAGGGAGAAGCUGAAAUAUCACAUCUAUACAUCUCAUUUUACUCUGAGGGAUCUUAUCCUCUCCAUGGAGAAAUUAGUUUGCACCUCAAACAUGUGAAUUAACUGAAUACCGUUGGACAUUGUACUCACCUAGGUCACAGUUCAGUCCUCAGUAGAUAGUCAAUGUCCAGAGUUUUUAGAAAAAAAAGAAAAAAUGUGUUGAGUUGAUGACAAAUAUUGGUCAAAUCAACCUCCCAUUCAAACUCUGUUCUCCUGCUUAAACCAUCAAGAAAAUAAAUGAUCCAAAGCAAUAAGACAAAAGGCAACAGGCAGACACUGAUGCACAGGAACUGCCACCUGAAUAUGAGGAAAAUCUUCUUUACUGUGCUGAUGACUGUGCACUGGAACAGGUUGUCCAGAGAGGUUGUGGAGUCUCCCUCACUGGAGAUAUGGGAGAACUGUCUGGACAUAACCCUGUGCAAUGUGCUUGAGCAGGGAGGUUGGCCCAGGUAAUUCACUUUGAUUCCUUCCAACCUUAUUCAUUCUGUGAUUCUGUGAUAAUCUUCUUACACCAAAUAAGUGAAAAAAUAUUCUUAUAGAAAAAAAAACCAAAAAAACAACAAAAUCUGACAUUUGGUAAUUUCCAUCAGGAUAAACAAGUGCUUGACUUUUAUGUUGCAUAUGGAAAAUUUCACAGGCAUAGUCUCUGAGGAAAUGGAAUAUGAACUAAGCAUUUUCUGAAUGGUGUUUUCUAGAACCAAGAAAAUAUCAUACUAGAAACAAAGUCUUCAAGACAUAAUGUCACUCAAAGCUCUUCAUUUUACAGAAGAAAUACAAUUGCAGUUCUUAUAACAAUGAGGAUACUGAUACAUUUUCAACCAAUCCAAAUAUUCCAACUGAAAAGUGGCUUGAAAUCAGAUUUUUCCCACAGCAACAAAUUUAUCAUUAGGGACUAGUAUAAUUGGAAUAGUUUCCAUUUAUUUAAUUACAGAAGCAUUUAAUUUAUUUUACCUUUGACAGAAACAAACAGAAUUGAUGCUGACAUCAAAGCAGGGCUGCUACUUGUUAAUGUAACUCUAGAUUUUAAAAUAACAGUUAUAAACAGAUUUUCUAAGUUCUUGCAGAAAAAAGUUCUUUAGGCAGGUGGUAAAACAUUAAUUUUUUUUGUUCCAAGAUGGUCAUCAAACAAUUUAUGCAUAGGUAGCUGCUGGUAAUUACUGCAUGGAAUGAUUUUAUCUAUUUUAAUAUUCAUCCUCUUUGCACUUGGGUCUUAUUUUCCAGAUAGUGCCAGGAAUUGGUAAUAAGGAAGCUGUUAUUAGUGAACUCAGAACUUGAUCUUUUCCUAGUCAGCCUGGGAAAUGAGACAAAGCAAAACAGUAGUGCUGAAGAUUCCUAGGGAAAAACCUGUAUUCUGUUCCAUUCCAUGCUAAGCAGUGCCAUGCUAUGCCAUCUACACUAUGCUAUGCUCUUCUUCUCUGCUAGUCCAUUCUUUCUUACUCUGUUUGGGAUGCUGGUUUUGGCACAGAAAUGCUGGUGCUUAUGCUACAUGACAUGAUGCCACCUGAAAGCUGGAAUGGCUGCUAGAGGCUGGAUAUUAAUUUUUAAUUGUUAAUUAGUUCUCAUUAAUGUUUUUUCAUUAGCUGUCUUAAUCUCAGUCCUUCCCUGAAACUAUAAAAAUCCAUAAAAGGACUGAAAAGCAUAUCCUGACACUGUGCACACUGCUGAAAGGAGGAAUAUAGAAAACAAUUCUUGUAUUUAAUCUCUGUACACACUACUGAAGGUGGUGCAAACAUUGCAGAGGCAAUGGGCAAGAGGGGCUAGAUGACAAAUGCUGAAAUUUCUGAUUUAUUUGUGAGCAGUGUUUUAGCGUUCUCUUUAAACAGAAUAAAAAUGAGUUGUCAUAAGUUUUUAUUUCUUGCAGUAUAUAAAAUAUUUUAUUGAGUUUCUAUCUUUUAUUCAUGCUUCUGAAGCAUGCAUGAAUAUGAAAGUUUUUAGAGGCACAAUUGCAUUUCAUUAUUAAAAUUCAGAAUCGCCCUAUUAUAUAUAAAAGUAAAUAUUCUAAAAGACUUUUAUGGAUUUCACAUCUCAGUAUCACAUAGAUUAUUUUUCAGUGAUAGCCCUCAUCUUCUGCAAUAAGUUAGUGAACUGUCAUCUUUACAACAACAGAGAAACAAAGAACUAAAAUACUUUAAAAGAAGCAUAAGAUGUCUGUGGAAACUUGUGUCAGGGAUAUUUUUUCCAGUUAUUAUAUGCCACCAAAAGUAAUAUAAAAGAGAUCAACAUGGUUCCUGAUAAAAAAUAUGGGGAAAUUGGAUUUUAUUUACUAAAUAAAAGAGAAAGGAAACUUUCUCUGCAUAUUUCUCUGCAUAUUUCUGCAGCCAACAGACUCAGAUCAAACAUUUAUCAAUUUUUAAAUAUGUAAACUCAAGAGUUAAUACCAGGUGACUCAAAAAACCUUCAAAAAAUCAGGACACUUUUGGUUCAGAGACAAACUAAUUUUUAAUUGUAGUACAUAAAAGUGUUUUCAAGGCACAUUGUUAAAUUUAUUUGGAUUUAUCAACUAUUUUUUAUUUUAAGGUUUAUCUUGGUUGCAUAAAAAACUAGAGACAUACGUGAGAUUUAAUACAGCAGUCAUUUUAGGACAUCAGAGGUCUGCCUAUACAUUUCUUAAAGAGGUUUUUCUUGGAUAAAUCAUGUUUAAACAAUCGGACUGGCUUUCAUAGUGAAGUAAUUGGUUCAGUGGAUGAGGGGAUAGCUGUCAAUGUCACUUGAUUUUAGCAAUAGAAAAUUUCAACGUCCUUCUUGACAAGCUGUUGAGGCAUGGACUGUAUAGAUAGACCAUAAAUUUGUGAAAUCUUAUGCAACUACCAGGUUCAAAGGGUGGUUAAUGAAUCUAAGUGGUCAUUGGCUAAAAAUGGAGCUCCUCUGACACAUUUCUUGUAAAACCUUUGUUUUUAUUUUUCAGUCCUAUGACUUCUGAUAAAAGUGAAGUAUAUUUUAUUCAGAAGCAAUGGGCAAUGGUUUUAUUCAACAAAUGACUCACUAGAUGGGUAUGUGCAAGAAGAAUGUCUGCAUCUCAUAGGAAAUAAAAGCACCAUACAUUGGUUCCCUUCAGGUACUGGAAGACCACAAUGACAUAUCCUUGAUGCCUUCUCUUCUGCAAGAUGAGCAGCUUCAACUCUCAGCCUGUCUUCAUGGGAGAGAUGCUUCAGCCCUUUGAUAACCUUCCUGGCUCUUCUCUGCACUUACCCAAAGAAGGGCCAUAUCCUUCUCACGAUGGGCACUUCAGACCUGGAUGUGGAACUCCAGGUGGGGUCUCAAGAGGACAGAGGGGGAGAAUCAGCACCCUACCCUACUGGCCUUGUUUCUUUUGACACAGCCCUGGAUACAUUUGGCUUUCUGGGCUGCAAGCACACACUGCUGCCUUUUCUUUUGUGAAUAAAGUGUAAAGAAGUGGGACAAUGAAAAUAAAGGCAAUUUUCUGAUCAUGUCAA